rnacentral:rRNA from 1 species
GUCGUAACAAGGUAGCCCUAGGGGAACCUGGGGCUGGAUCACCUCCUUUAAAAAGUUUCGCCGGGUCGGCGGAGUACUCACAUAAAUUACCUAUCCACAGUUAAAGCAGAUACAGGCCUGUUGCUUGAAGCAUCUGUACUGCACUUGAGCAAAUUGGGUCUGUAGCUCAGUUGGUUAGAGCGCACCCCUGAUAAGGGUGAGGUCGGAGGUUCAAAUCCUCCCAGACCCACCAGAUUGGAGUUCAGGGGCCAUAGCUCAGCUGGGAGAGCGCCUGCCUUGCACGCAGGAGGUCGGCGGUUCGAUCCCGCCUGGCUCCACCAAAUUCAUGAGUGGGAAGUGUCUAGCGAGAAGGCUAGCCACUUUGCAUUUGCGAAGUCUGCUUUUAAAAAUUAGGUUAGAUCGCUGAUAGGUGAUAUCGAAAGAUAUCCUUAUCAAUUAAGUAUCUAAGUUUCUCAAGGCUUAGAUACUGGGUAUGUUGCAUUCGUAACCAUUGAUCGUAUCCCAGAAUUUUUGGGGUUAUAUGGUCAAGUGAGUAAGCGCAUAC